rnacentral:rRNA from 1 species
UACGUAGGUGGCAAGCGUUGUCCGGAAUUAUUGGGCGUAAAGCGCGCGCAGGCGGCCUCUUAAGUCUGAUGUGAAAGCCCCCGGCUCAACCGGGGAGGGCCAUUGGAAACUGGGAGGCUUGAGUAUAGGAGAGAAGAGUGGAAUUCCACGUGUAGCGGUGGAAAUGCGUAGAGAUGUGGAGGAACACCAGUGGCGAAGGCGACUCUUUGGCCUAUAACUGACGCUGAGGCGCGAAAGCGUGGGAGCAAACAGGAU